rnacentral:rRNA from 1 species
CGCAGCCGCGGUAAUUCCAGCUCCAAUAGCGUAUAUUAAAGUUGUUGCAGUUAAAAAGCUCGUAGUUGAAUUUCGGGGUUAGUAGGUCGGUCAUGCCACUGGUAUGUACUGGUCUCACUGAUUCCUCCUUCCUGAUGAACCGUAAUGCCAUUAAUUUGGUGUUGCGGGGAGACUGGACUGUUACUUUGAAAAAUUAGAGUGUUUAAAGCAGGCUAACGCUUGAAUACAUUAGCAUGGAAUAAUGAAAUAGGACGUUCGAUCCUAUUUUGUUGGUUUCUAGGAUUGACGUAAUGAUUAAUAGGGAUAGUUGGGGGCAUUAGUAUUCAAUUGUCAGAGGUGAAAUUCUUGGAUUUAUUGAAGACUAACUACUGCGAAAGCAUUUGCCAAGGAUGUUUUCAUUAAUCAAGAACGAAAGUUAGGGGAUCGAAGACGACCAGAUACCGUCGUAGUCUUAACCAUAAACUAUGCCGACUAGGGAUCGGAUGAUGUUAAUUUUUAAUGUACUCUAUUCGGCGCCGUU